AAGCACGAAAUCAAUCGUGAGCAAAAUAGUAAAAUUUGUAAAAAAGAGAAGCGGGUCCCAAUCAACCCUACUGUACUCUUUUUUGAAGAGCGGUUGCACAAUCCAGGUGGUGCAACCUUGCGUGUUGAAUGAUUGGGUAGGACGGACCAUCCACCAAAAAUGGAGGAUUGGAGUCGGAGAGGACGGACCAUCGUGGAGGGUGCGAGUGAUGGCAGACCAUGUUGGAGAUAGUUCAAACCUCUGGCAGCACCCAAUGCUACUUUCAUCCUCUCCACCCAUGUCAGUGGCAAGGGGCAAUGUUCUGCAUCAUGCCAAAGAUUUUACCUAGUGUCUUGUUAAACCUCUUGACUAUCAGUUUGAUAAAGGAAGCAUACUCAUAUACAAGCAGCUUCAUUCUUCCUUCUAUACAGGAUCCCAACAGCAUCAACACAUUUUUAUGUCUAGCUUUCAUCAGCAGAUCGACUUCUGAUAGGAAAUCCAUCUCUCCCUGAGGGCUUGAAUUUCUGUGCUGCUUAACAACUAUUUUCAUGUUAUUACUUUUCAGCUGACAUCUGAAGGCAGAUCCAAUUCCACCUUCAGAUAAAGAGUUCUGUGAUGAAAAACCAUCUGUGGCAUCAUAGAGUUCUGCAUAUGUGAAGUCCCUUUGCCAACUGAAAUUUGGUCGUCUAUUCUUGCAAAGAGCACACAUUGGAUUUUGAAAGAUCUCCUUAGCUUGCCACUCUGCUUUCUCAGUUCUGCUGCUCUGUGUCAUUUUUUGAACAUGGCUCUCUUCAGUUACACCUGUCAUUCAACUCCACUCAAUUGAACGUGCUGCAAGCUUUUGGAGUUAAGAACAUAAAGCAUUCGUUAACAUAUAUUGAGGAGGUUAGUUACUUGGGCAAAUUUCAACGCUGAAAAGGUCAUCAAGGGAUCCUGGCAUGAUUUUGUUGUGGGUGACUUGAUUGUUCUGCAGUUCCUCCUUAGCAGCUUCUUGCUUCUUGCAUGAGGGGUCUCACUAUGGGUUUCAACCUGGCGAAGAACUGAAAGGAGGGUGAGCAUAUCACCAGGCUUAAGGGAUAAGCCUUGCAAUGCCCACCUCAACGCGCUUGAACUAACUUCUCUUGAUGCAUCCUGGAUCACCACCACCCUCUGAGCUUCCAUUGGACUUGUCUGCUUGGAAGCUCCAAACACUUUAGCUACUUUAAAUUAUUUUGUUUUAGGAUAUAUAGAAAUUACAUUACUGAUUUCAUGUUUGACAAGCUGUAGUCUUAACAGCUAGAGAAAUUUCCCAAGAAUCUGUGUAAGUGAUGGUGGCGAAUCCUGGAAAACAUCUUAUCAGAAGUUGAUUCAAGCGUAUAUUCUGAUUUCCAAAGGGACUUCUAGUUCUAGUUUUUAUAUAGAAAAAAAAAAGAUUUAAUUUAAAGCCUUUAGCUGGCAAAUAGGUAUGUUCAUUCCUAGGACAAGAACAUCUUCAACCAAUGCAAUGAUGUUCGGUAUGUUAGCAGAGCUACAAGAGUACAAGACAAAGAGGCUAGAAAUUUUUGUGACAGAAACAAAGUUGUCUUUGGAGAAUCAUGGAUGAAUCCUUUGGCUUCGAGCAUUGAAGAAUCCUGCAGACAUGCUGGGCUCCUAUAUUUGAAAAAAUAAACGUUUCUUCGAUUCUUCUUUUCAUAUUACUGAACAUUUGUUCAUUCCAAAGUGCUUCUUAUUUUUUUACAGUUUAUG